rnacentral:misc_RNA from 1 species
AAAAGCAAUUCCUGGAAGACUCUAUGGAGGGAACCUGCUAGAUAACAGUGAGGGAAAUGGGGGUGACAGAUUUGGUCAUUUGGUUGAUCUGUAUUGUUGGAAUCCACACUGCCGUUAUUUGGAUGGCUAUGGUCCAUCAGUAAAUGAUACUAGUGCACAGAAUGAUUGGAAAGGAACAUGGUGGCACAGUAGCUUGACUCACUCAGGUUUUAU